rnacentral:sRNA from 1 species
GCCAAGAUGACGCCGCUGCUGUCCAGCCUGGGCGACAGAGUGAGACUGUUUAAAAAAAAAAAAAACACACAAAAGAUAAUUGUUAAUUGUAGCUAGUUUGUUAGUUUGUUUCCUAUUUCAAUAUCCACCCCCCCGCCCCCCCGCCUUUUUUUCCCUGUGUUUUUCUGUACCAUAUAUUCAGGUAAAUGACCUCCGAAAAGAAUUAGAAAGUCGAGCUCUUAGUUCCAAAGGAUUAAAAUCCCAGUUAAUAGCCCGAUUGACAAAACAGCUUAAAGUAGAGGAACAAAAAGAAGAACAGAAGGAGUUAGAGAAAUCUGAAAAAGAAGAGGAUGAGGAUGAUGAUAGGAAAUCUGAAGACGAUAAAGAGGAAGAAGAAAGGAAACGUCAAGAGGAAAUAGAACGCCAGCGUCGAGAAAGAAGAUAUAUUUUGCCUGAUGAACCGGCCAUCAUUGUACAUCCAAAUUGGGCUGCAAAAAGUGGCAAGUUUGAUUGUAGCAUCAUGUCUUUGAGUGUCCUAUUGGACUACAGAUUAGAGGAUAAUAAAGAACAUUCAUUUGAGGUUUCAUUGUUUGCGGAACUUUUCAAUGAAAUGCUUCAAAGAGAUUUUGGUGUCCGUAUAUACAAAUCAUUACUGUCUCUUCCUGAGAAAGAGGACAAAAAAGAAAAGGAUAAAAAAAGCAAAAAA